AGAAGAAAAUUCCCACAAGAGAAGAUUAAUAAAGAUCCCCGAUCAUUGUGUAAUUUAAAUAACACACAACAUUACUUGUGUUAAGCAUAUUGAUUUUCAACAAAUUAACAACUUAUUUAUUACAAUGCAUGAAUAUAUUUAAUCUUGAAAUGCCUAUUUUUAGUACGGUAUACAUUUAUAUCAGAAUGUAUCAUAAAUGGAAUAUGCGUGUUUAGAACAUUCUGCAUAGGUACGUUAAAUUCAUUAUAGUUUUGUUUGUGAUUAGAAUACACAUUUGGUAGCCGUGGUGGUUCGUACUAGAAUGGUGUGACAAAUCUAAAUCCAAAUGAAAACGUUGCACACCGAGAAAACGGUAUUAACACCUAAAGCUAAAUACAUCCAUCAGCCAUUUUUCCUGAAGUAUAUAACUAUCAUAGCUAGAAUAUCUGGUCUGAUAACAGUAAUAAUGUUGUGGGUUUCAGCAAUUUUAAGAAUUAAAGCUGUUCAUAAUAUGGAUUAUAUAGGAUGGUAUAUCUUGGCAGUGGCCAUAGUAGUCACAUUCUUUGAAUUGACAUGGGUUAUAGAUAAAUCUGUUUGCUGUCUUCGUGAAGGGUAUUGUUGUAUGUGUUGGUCAGGUGUUUUAUGGGUUGAUAUCUGGAAGAGAGGAAUACUU